AGUAUCUAACAGAGCUAACAGCUGGAUAUACAGCUCUAUCCUGUACCAGUUCCAAAUUCUUACAUUAUAAACCACACAGCUAUCAGUUUUACUGUCACUGGGAUUUCAGAUAGAUGCAUAUAUCACACAGACACUAGAGCGAUACUCUUGACAAAUGAAUGAGCCUUUUUUUUUUUUCUUUUUCUUUUUUUUCUUUAAUUUGUUCAUAGACAAUCCCUGCACACAGAUGGGGAGAACAUAUUCUAGGUAAGGUUGUUGGAACAUAUCAGCUCCUAUUUUUCCAUGUGCAUUGCUUGCUUUUCUUUUGAUUGCUGUUUUUUCUUUCCCUUCUUUAUGAAUGCUUGUUGCUAUUUUCAACUGCUUGUUGCAGUUAUUCUGAAUUUAUUUGUUACAGAUUCUAUCCAAACAUGGUUACUAGCAAGCAGUCCAUUGCCUACUAUAUGUAAGGUAAUUGGGGCACAUUUUGAAAAUAUGCUGGGUUACUUAGCUUUUUUAGGAUGUGCUUAGAUACCUACACAUUUUUUUUUUUCUGUGUUGAGAAACUGCAGUUCCUACUGAAGUUUAUGAAUUUUGCCUAAUCAGCAUCUCUAAAAACCGGACUUUAAUGAACAUUUUAUUGAUUUUUUAACAAUCUACAUGCUCAGACAGUAGUACGAAAUUCUAAUGACUUUAGAUUUCUGGCCAUUUCUGUUUGCUCAGAAAAAAAAUAACAGCAAGCAGAAGAAGUGAUAAGGAAGUUGUUGCUUUUAAUGUUAAUGAAUACUCUACAUCUCUUUUAAUACUAAUUAUGUUUCAUUCCUGAAAUAACAUUUCUUUUUCAUACAUUUUCCAAACAAGAUAACAUGUAAGAAAUUAAAUGUGAUUUUUUUUUUUAACUUUGCUUUCCAGUCAGAAUUACUAACUGACCCUAUGUCUUUGUUGCCAAGUACAACAGUGCUUCCUUCUUGCUGUCACCUGCUCUCUUUCAGGAAAAGGCAGAGGAAAUAGGUGUUUCCGGCAGCAUAUCUUGCCAGUCUCAAUUACACCAAAGGCACUGAGUUUAUACCAACAGAGGUGUAUGUAAAACCAAGGGAGCAAGUGCCUUAUUUUAAAAGAAAUUCUUCCGAAUAUCAGCACAGUUUGAAUUUAGCCUCAUUGUGUUAAAGUUCAUUUCAAAUAAUGUGGAAGAAUAGGUGUCAUUGUGGAUGUAGAAGGCAUGUGCAUAUCAUAACGUUGAAUUUUCCAACCACUGCAAGGUAAAAAUUCACAAUUAAUCAAAAAAAAGUAUGAAUUAAUACACCUGAAUCCAGAUAAGUAUUUUGAACAUCUCAAAAUAUGAAUAUACUGGCUUUUAUUAUCCCAUGCCUAGCUGUAGUAAGAUUUGAUUCCACAGAUCAUUGAAUUCUUUUCACUUGCAAUGCAAUCAGCAGAUAGCACUUGGUUGUAAUCCCUCAUUUUUACCAUGUUCACGAUAGUCAGACAAAUGACUUGCAAUGGAUGUCUGUUUCCAGAAUGAAAACAAAAUGGAUAAAGAAAACAAACAAACACACACACACAAAAACAACAACAACUACAAAAAUCCAAAAAACCCACAGCCAUCCAUUUUAGUGACUAUUGCUCAUAUCUAGACAAUAAAAGAAUCAGGCUUAAGUAUCAGACUUAAAGCUGUCAAGUUACUAGCCAAAAGAGAUAUUAGCCUUUCACAUAAUCUAAUGUAUACAUUUAGGCAGUUUCAUAGUUUCCUCUGUUUCUACAGUUUCUUUCUCAUUUGGGAUCUCUUCCAGCUGCGUCACAGAGACCCAGGCUCUUUAUUUGGCUGUAAAGAUUCUGCAGCAGCACAGCCUGUGCUGUGUUCAGCCUCACAAUGCUUGUGUCAGUCCGGGUGAUCUAGAAAUAAAAAGCUCUGAAGCUCAAAGGUAUAGAAUACUUUUAAAGCCCAUAAAUUGGUUGUAGGAAAGAGCUCAAGAAGGUAUUAUUAGUUAUAAGUUUGAAAGCCUCCCUGCUCAUCAUUUUCAAACCAACAUAAACAUGAAUUCUGCCUUAUUUCUCAGCAUUAUGAAACUUUAACAGCUCUGAACUGUAAAAAUAACUAAACCCAUCUUCUCUUUCCUUCUCCAGAGUACCUUCAAAUCCUUUCAUUCAUUUUCUACACUCUAUCGCAGACAUAUUUUUAUAUUUCUUAGUCAUUUCUUCAUCUCAGCUCUGCAGAUAAAAGAAAUGAUGCAAUUACUUAAAGAAGAAGAUUUCUAAUAAAAAUUUAUAAAGGAAUGUUAAGUAGCUCCCACUUGCAUCUCUUUUUUCCUUUCUUUUUAUUUUUUCCUUCUCUGCAGUUGGUCAUGAAAUAAAUAUUACCACUGACAUGAGUUCAUUGCUUUUUGUUUUCUGUUUUUUUUUUUGUGUUUUUUUUUAAAUGUGAAUAUAAGCUGAGCAAGUGAAAGAAAGAUUUUAUAUUGUUUUCUGCAAAAAAACAGCAGUGAAUAAGAUGUGCUCAUUGUAACUGGCCAGAGUUUUCCUCAGAUUAGUCUAUUGGAGCAGAUGAUGGAGCUCUCUAAAAGCAGACAGUAGAGGUUUGGUCCCAGAACUCCCAGGAGAAUGGAAAUGUUGAUGGGAAAGGCUGCUCUAUCCCAGGCAGCUGUGCUCCCCUUCUCCUGUCCAUGCCUGCACCGGAGAGGGUUUUGGAAAAUAUUCUUCCAUCAGGAGAAGAGUCUAUGCAAAAAUAAAUGCAGUCUUUAGUUUCAAACUGCAUUAACAUCUGGAUACAUCCAAGCAUGACUGCGGAAUGGAUACUGCAUGUUUCUUGGCACUACAUUUUCCCAUUCCCUGGCUUUUUCUCCUUCACAGUGCUCACUAUUCCAUUGAUGUACAGGUAAACACAGUUACAGUUUGUCUGCCCUGUUUGGACUUUUCUACCAGCAUUUAGUAGUAAGAAAUGUGCAUUCUGUGUUAACAUGAGUCAAUGGACCUGAACAUUUUGUUGAGUUGUUCUCUCUUUCUGUGGUAGAUUUCUAUCCAGAUGUCUGUGCAACAGAAUGGUUUUCUUGCUUUAUUCUUUGUUUGUUUUUAACACUGUUCUUCUGCAAGGCUAGCAAAAUAAUGAGGAAGGGCUUACUACUUGAUGUGCCAUACAUGCUGGCCAAAUUUAUUUAUUCUCCUCUAAUGACAUAUUAUGAUUUUGAAUUAUUAUUAUUAUUAUUUUAUUAUGAUUAUGAAUGUUUUUAAUUUACAUUUCAUAUGAAUGCAGUCUUGUAUUAUUUUAAUUUAUUAAUUUAUAAAGCUAUUGUUGUUGUCAAGAGAGCAUGAAAUCAUUUCAUAAAUAACAUAUUUUUGUCAGUCAUUUUCCACAUUAUCCAAAACAAUUUCAGAAUACUAAGGAAGCGAUGCAACUUCUAGACAGUUGUUUUGCACUAGUUGGCAGUUUUACUUACCACUUGACUUAAAGUUUUACUGCUAAAUCUAAAUUUUGGGAAUGGCUCUGCAAUGAAAAAUAGAAUAACUGGUGGAAAUAAUCUAGAAAUAAGCUUAAAAACAUUUUGAUCAGGUAGAAUACCUCAUGUACCAUGAGUUUGAUCACUUGUUGUGUCCUCUUAUUAUGAAGCAUAAUUCCUGUUUUAAGCCAAACUCAGAAACUUUCGGAGCUUUUCAAAACUUGCUAUGAAAUUUAACUCAGUUGCUUCAUAACCUUUGUGACAAAAAACAGUCCAGUGGACUUUGUCCUCUGCCAUCACUUCCCUGAGAAACUAAGUCCUGACAUUUUCAGUGCUUGUAGAGGAAGCCUGUGGAGAUUUAUUCUGUGUCUAAGGCUUUUCUGUCUUCCAUCCAGCAUCUCUGCUUUUUUUUUUUUUUUUUUUUUCCACCUAAAAUAUAUUUCCCUUAUUUGUCAGGCUCUAGAGAGUUCAAUGUGUUUGAUCACCUUUUGAAAAUGAAGAAAAGUACUUUUUGAAAUUUUCUAUUAAAAAAUAUGAAUUCUCAUUCCAAGAAAAUUGUCAAUGUUCUAAUUUAUUCCAGUUAAGAAAAAAUAUAUAUUUUUUUUCAAGUUCAUAGAAUAUCUUGAGUUGGAAGGGACGCAACAAGAAUCAUAAGUCCAACCCUUGACUCCACACAGCACCACCCAAAAUCCAAAUCUUGUGUCUGAGAGCAAAGUCCAAACGCUCCUCGAACUCCGGAACUCGGAGCCGUGCCCACUGACCUGGGCAGCCUGUCCCAUGCCCUCUGCCCUCUGGUGCAGAGCCUUGCCCUAACUCCCAGCUGACCCUCCCUUUCUCUUCCUCUCUGCAGUUUAACAGACCUACAUUUCUUACUUUUAUGUAAUAAAGAAAGCACAUUUAUAACAUGAUUAAUUUCUACCGUUUUGUUUGAAGAACAGUUAUUUUCCACAAUAAGUACGUAUUGCAGACAGAGGAAAAUGAUUCUAAGAGAAAAGAUGCAGAACCAAUAGCCAUCAUACACAACAGCUCAGAGAGAAUCCUAAGAGACAGAAGGUUAAGGCAUAGAAUGUAAUGAAUUCUCUCAUAGACAGUUUUGAGUAGGCUGCAAUGAGGUGUUGUAUAAUGUAGCUGUAAAUACUGGGGUGGGUGAUUGAAAUUCCUGCUGUAAGUGCUUUAUAUAGAAAUGUUUAGUUACUUAUCAGCAGAAUUAAAAAGAUUUGGGGUUUUUUUUUGGUGGCUUCUGAAAUAAAAAACAGCUGCCGAUGUUCCGGGAACUGCUUUCCACCAGCCUGGUUGCAACUACUGACUCAGCUUUGCAGGCUUGGAACUUUGUGAAUCCUCAAGGGCACGCAAAAUUUAAAUUUACUUGUUAUAAACAUUACGCACUUGAGACGCAUGUAGAUAAUAUGCUGUAAGGAGUGUGUAGAUAAUAUGUUUUUCCAUUUGCAAUUCAAGAUCUUGUAAAAUUGUGGUGGAACGUGUAUUUUAGUGAGUGUAAUCUGCAUGUACCUUCCCAAAAAGUAUGCUCACAAACUGCUCUAGGUGCUUUUAUAUGUUGUCACACUCAUAAAUUAAAUGCAAUAAGUUGAGCACAUAUCUGGGGUUAUUUUCUAUAUUCUACUCAUUGCUGUACAGUCAGCAUUCUGCACAGAUGCACCCUGCUGUGAGACUGCACCUCACUGCAAUGAGAUGGGGAAUGUUUGGCUGUGUGUACAGUAUAGCAAAUAGUACCUGUAUGUCCUACUUCAAUUAACAUGGUAGACGAGUGAUUCUGCUGGUAGUCCUACUGAACUGCCACCGGAAUAACUGUCAUGGAUAGGUCUUAUCACACAUGUGAAUUCACGAAUCAGUUAGAAAAUGUAGGACUUCACUUGAGCUGGGGACUCUGAGGAAGAUUGUCCAUGAUCAAAAACAGUAGGUGCUUAAUUAAUUUAAUCUGGCAAAAGUCCUAUGCACACUUCACUUGUUGCUGAGUGCACUUAGUUUUUUCUGCAUUCCAGCCCAUGCUUUCUAUAGAGGAAUAAUCAUAGUUUGCUUCAUGUUUUAAAGGAAGGAAUGAAAUAUUGCUCUGAGAAGAAAGUGCAAGAUAAAGACUUUUUCACUUCUUAAUACAGAUACUACAAGCAUCAUCAUCAGCUCUUUCAGUCCUUUGCUGUCAGUGUCCUAGUAUUUAAAGAGCAACAGCCAUGUAAAUAAAUCAUCUUGACCUUUUCUAGAUGCUAAAGACAAAAAUAAAAGAGAGGGUGUUCUGGGAAGCUGCUGCAACACUGCUGUUGGUAGCAGCACCUUAUGUCUUUGUAAAGGAACCACGGUCCAUGGAGCUUGAAGAAUUUUACACCUGUGCAGAUCAUAAUGCAAAACUCAUCAUUUCCUAUGGGCUGUUCUUCUAUAGCUAAGCUGGAAGCAUGAUCCUAGUGAGAUGUUCCCAAAAUUGAUUUGCCUCAAGGCAAUUGUUUUUAAGCAAGGAGACCAUAUAAAGGAAGGGAGGACAGAUCAUGCUGUCCUAAGAAGAAAGACUGAAGUAAUUUUCAAAUUAUACAACUAUGUCUAGUGAUGACACUAAUGGGCUCCUUAGAAAUGCAAAUAGCAUCUCAGUGAUUAGCUUGUGUUAUUGACAGACUAGUUCUGAAUUCAAAAAUAUAGCAUACUCCAACUGACUCCUUCACAUAUUCUCACAAUACAUGUUUUGAAGUUUCAAGUAAUAAGGGAAGAUGAGAUAGUGAUUAUAACAGGGUUUGCAGGGUUUGUCUGGUUGGAAACAGAGACAAUCUUCCAUAUUUUCCAAAUGGAACUGUGAUUAUAGGAAUAAUGUUAGAAAGGUUUAAAAACGAUUAAGUUUCUAGGCAGUCUUAUAGAUUUCUUGUUUAUUGAAUAUUGCCUAUGAAAAAAUGUCAUUGAAAAGUGAAGUUUGCUGUUGUCAUGCCGAAAAAUGCUAUUCUAUUUGCUGUCAGAUUGCAUUGUAUGCAUUGUGCAUCCUUUAGCAGCACUUAGACAAGCUGACACAAAAUACAAAGAUGAUCCAAUUACAUUUUCUGCAAGUGCAUCUCAUUGUGCUAAUGCCUACAAAUUAAGGGUGUCUAUCACCCCUUACAUGAGACAGAACACAGAUAACAUUUUAAAUCUCAUGCAUUUUAUAGUGCACACCACUUAAAUACUGAAGCAGCCCUAAUCGUAAACAGUUGACAUGCAGCUCAUAAACUGUGCCUAGUCAAUACUGAAAAUGCAGCCAUGUAGUGCGUACAGAAAUGAUUCCUCCUUACUGUUAUUUAUUAGUGGUAGUAUUAUUUACUUGUGGCAAUUUGUGUCUGGUAAUUUACUUACCAUAGACAGUUUAAAUGUACAGCAUUAAUGCUGAUGUACUUCCAGAGCAAUCAGUGUAUAUUAUCCUUUUUUUUUUUUUUUUUUCCUGAAACUGUCUUGCUAUAGGUAGAAAAUCUUGGAAAAUCCAAUGCAUCUGUUCAGGAAUCAAGCUACUGAAGUACACUCAUUUGGAAGGGUGCUGUCUGUUAGUAUUUCACAGAUUUGUAUGAAACGUGAGAUCCAUGAAGAGUAAAAAAACUCAUCCUGACCUUGCAAAUAGUCAUUGGGUAGGGUGGCAAAAUCUAACCCUACAAAUAGAGCUUCAUUAGGCACAGAAUUUCAGUUGAAACCUUGGAUCCAAUGUGGGAUUUCGCUCAAACACAUUCACUCUGUGGGAAAAAGCAAGAUAUGAUGUGUUUUGGAGGAAAAAAAGUGCUUUUGCUCCCAGCUUGUACCUCAUUGCUGAGUGUUGUCUACUUGUUUCUUGUGGAGGUUAUCAUACUGAGUAUCUCCUAUGGCUACUCCCACUGAGCUGAUGGGGACUUUGCUUUGACAGCACCACUGGGACUGAGACACCAAGUCCAAUACAACUAUCUCUGUAACGUCUUGAGAUGAGUAUCACUGGAGUUUGCAAGAUCUGCUGUGCUCAUGGUGUUGAUCACAACUGUGAUGUCAGGUUGGAGACCAUCAUGUCUCUGAGAGGCCCAUCCAACCACCUGGAAAGCCAUUUGUUUGAGCAUAGGAAAGUGUGGGUUCCUUUUCUUCCAGAGGCUUUCACAGUAGAGCCGUGGGUCCCAGCAAUCCUAGAGGCCAGACCAGGGACAUUACUUCCACUACAUGGCCAAGAACCUGCAGAUCAUCUGGAGCUUAAAAGCAAACCAAUAAUUGUAACAUAUGGGUGAAAGCUUUUUUGAGCCAGUGUGCAGCAAGUAGAAAACUGUAGACUGCUAAUAUCUCCAGUGAAUUUGAUCUCAAGAGCUGAUGGCCAACAUAUGUAUCAUCUAGCAACAAAAGGCUGAAAAGUAAUAACAUUUAAGCCAAGGAAACCCUACAUGACAAAUGCACAGUGGAAAUGAAAAGAAAAAGAAGAUAAAAUAAAAGUCAAGGCUACCUACACCAAAUCACGUAGUGAAAGUUAGACGAUGAACCGUAAAUGAAUGAAGGGAAGUGGAAAGCACUGAAUAGUGAAAAUAUCCAGCUUUUCACAGCUGAGACAUUAUUUGUGAUGAAAUUGGCAUUUAAAAUAAGGCCAAGGUUCAUAAGUCCUCAAAAUUAACAUGCAUUUGAAGACUGCAUCUGAUAAGGCAUGAAAGAAAAACAAAUAAACAUUUACAGAACUUUCUUGCUUUUUUGAUUGCUAGCUUUCUUGUACUACUCUCAGUCUAUAAAUGACACUAUUGAUGCACUCUCAGGUGAAUCAAGAUUGAGAGUGAAUAUCCACAUCCACUGUCUCACUUCCCUAACCUCUGUCACAGGCAGCUCCCUGCUACUGAGACAACAGUGUAUGUGGUUCAUUGUGUCUGUUUUCUUCAGAUACUUUACAAAUUAUAUUACUCAAAUAACCUGAGUUGUUUUAAAAUAUAAAAAUGGUUGUUAUAUGGUCAAGUGAGAGACUGAAAUUAUUUGAACAAUACAUUAAUCUUCUUUGUUUUACUCUCUCAAUUUCAUUCUUCUUUUCUACUUUCCCAUGGUUUUUUUUGUUUGUUUGUUUUGUUGGUUUUUUUUUGUUGUUUGUUUAUUUUCCUGGGUUAUUUUCUAUUAUACAUUUCUGUUUUUUUUUUCUAUUUCUUUCCUCUUCAAGGCUUUUAUACAGUGGAUACACAGGGAUUUAAGAUGUUAAAUGUGAAAGUGCAACAAAAUUCAACUGCAUUUUGAAAUCUGAUAAAUGAAAAAUGGGCAUGGUAUCAAAUUUAAUCACAUUUGUAUUCAUGUGUUGUUGAGAGCAGACACUGAUUUAUGAUCUAUCAACAGUCACCAGAUUCUGUGACUGCUUUAUACAAAUACAAGUGGAUAGAUGGAUAGACAGAUAGAUAGACAGCAAAAUAAUGUUGCAAAUUACAAGGCAUCAGACCUGUUUAUAAAAAAAUAGCUCAUCCAAUUCAUUAAAAAAAAGAAAAAAAAAGAAAAAGCUCUGGAGACUUUUGUCAGAGCAAAUCUCUGGGAAAUCUUUUACUAUAUGGAAAGCUCUCAGAAAACUAAAACACUCUGUUAUUUUUCUGUGUUCAAAUGUUAUUUCUCCAAAAGUACAGUUAGACAAUCCCACUUUGCACAUGGCAUGUUCUACAUAACUGACUGGAAUGAGAGGUUUCAUGCUAAUAUUGUAUAUCAAAGCAUCGCACAAAAGCAUGACAUUAAAAAUAAUCCCUUCCUCUAAUUCAUACACAGACUUUGGCAGUGCAUGAUCAUUAAGAAAACAAGUAAAGCAAGAACAUGAGUGAUGGAGUGAGGAAGAACCUGAGCAGGUGUGAAAAGAUAAAAAAAUAAUAAUUUACAUAGUACUGAAAAAAAC
rnacentral:lncRNA from 1 species